rnacentral:rRNA from 1 species
AUUGAACGCUGGCGGCGGGCCUAACACAUGCAAGUCGAACGGAGCGGCGGACGGGUGAGUAAUGCCUAGGAAUCUGCCUGGUAGUGGGGGAUAACGUCCGGAAACGGGCACUAAUACCGCAUACUAUCAGAUGAGCCUAGGUCGGAUUAGCUAGUUGGUGGGGUAAAGGCCUACCAAGGCGACGAUCCGUAACUGGUCGGAGAGGAUGAUCAGUCACACUGGAACUGAGACACGGCCCAGACUCCGACGGACGGCAGCAGUGGGGAAUAUUGGAAAAUGGGCGAAAGCCGGAUCCAGCCAUGCCGGGUGUGUGAGGAAGGUCUUCGGACUGUAAAGUACUUUAAGUUGGGAGGCGUUACCAACAGAAUAAGCACCGGCUAACUUCGUGCCAGCAGCCGCGGUAAUAC